UGAGGCCCUUCGGGGUACAUCAGUGGCGGACGGGUGAGUAACACGUAGGUAACAUGCCUCAAACUGGGGGAUAACAGAGGGAAACUUCUGCUAAUACCGCAUAGGCCCUGGGUUGAAAUACUCAUGGUUAAAGAAGUAAUUCGGUUUGAGAUUGGCCUGCGUUGGAUUAGCUCGUUGGUAGGGUAAUGGCCUACCAAGGCGAUGAUCCAUAGUUGGUCUGAGAGGAUGACCAGCCACAGUGGGACUGAGACACGGCCCACACUCCUACGGGAGGCAGCAGUAGGGAAUAUUGCGCAAUGGGCGAAAGCCUGACGCAGCAACACCGCGUGGAGGAUGAAGCAUUUCGGUGUGUAAACUCCUGUCGACAGGGAAGAAAUUUGACUGUACCUGUAAAGGAAGCAUCGGCUAACUACGUGCCAGCAGCCGCGGUAAGACGUAGGAUGCAAGCGUUGUCCGGAAUUAUUGGGCGUAAAGAGUUCGUAGGCGGUUUGUUAAGUCUGGUGUUAAAUCCCCAAGCUCAACUUGGGUAUGGCAUUGGAUACUGGCAGGCUAGAGUGCGGUAGAGGUAAUUGGAAUUCCAGGUGUAGCGGUGAAAUGCGUAGAUAUCUGGAGGAACACCAGUGGCGAAAGCGAAUUGCUGGCCCGCAACUGACGCUGAGGAACGAGAGCUAGGGGAGCAAAAGGGAUUAGAUACCCCUGUAGUCCUAGCUGUAAACGAUGGAUACUAGGUGUUGGUGGCUUCGACCCCAUCAGUGCCGUAGCUAACGCGAUAAGUAUCCCGCCUGGGGAGUACGCUCGCAAGAGUGAAACUC
rnacentral:rRNA from 1 species